UUACUCUGUAUUUGUCAAUGAUUCGGCACUCCUUCGGUUUUGUUAUCCAUUUUUAGACAGUAAUGAGAUCAUCUGCACACUCCACAGAGCUCCAGAGUUACUGUUCAUAGCAAAAGUGUAAUGCUGUCCUUGGAGAUUUUCACCUAAGACUGUGAGUGUGUAAUGGAUUUCAAAGUGUUUAAGUGUUCAGAGCACUCUACAGCCUGUGAACAGAGUGCCGAUUAUUAUCGACAGCUACGUCCACCCGGGGUGAAAGUAGUGUGGGAGACCAUCAGGACCCAGCUGGGUUUCCUUGGUCCAGAGGUUUGGAGAAACCUCUUCCUUUUCUUUCAUCACAGCUGUCCUGUGCCAGAUGUUCUGUUGACCCACUGAGAGAGGCGUGUUUGAGAAAGAUCAGGAAGACUGAAGCUCAUGGUAGGAAUGAAGGAGGACCUUGUGAGCUCCACCAGCAGCUCCCUCACAAGGAACUGUUCACAAGUCCACUGCAGGCACGCCCCAGAAGAUGGAUAAAGGCAGCGUUUCAUGAAGACACUGGAACCAAUCUAUCUUCAUAACAGCAGGAUAAAGACAUGGUGAUAAAUGAGUGUGUGGGCCGUCUGCUGAGGACCAGGAGCUCAGGACACUCAGACGGGGGCGUCGCAGCAGGAGUCACCGCGCACCACAAUCCUCUGCUGUUCUGAGAUGUCACACUCCUGCCUGCACAUAGAAACCACAGUGAAGUCAAAGUUCCACCUGCACCUCCACCUGUUCUUGCAACAGCAUGAACACUGACAGAGGUGAGACAGCAGAAGAGUUUUUGUCUAUUUUUUGUUUUGUUUUGUUUUUUACUAAGUUAAGGAAUUAAGUGAAGAAGAGUGAUUAAAUAAAUUGUUUCUUGCAGUUUUGAUUUAAUGAUUGUGUUUAGGAUUAUUUCAGAAACAUGUUUAGAGGAUCUUUGUAAGCC